CCACAGAACUCAUCUGGACAGGCCUCUGGGGGAGAAUUCAAUGUAAUAAUGUUUCAGUGCUUAGUUAUUGCUAAGGAGCAUGCAAAGACUCUCUUAGGAGCUCAUAAGAGGUCGGUACUAUUUAGCUACUGAUUUAACAAUUCCAUCUGAUUGGGAACUUACAAGAUCAAUAAUGUCAAAUCACCUUCCCCAAUACCACUGACUCAAAUACCUAGCAAAACAUGGAUGACAGAUGGCCCCAAUAAUGGCCGUCUGAGUAUUCUAUCACAGAUCAUCCCCCAAAUCCAUGGCAAGGCAAAGCCCUUGCAUGUCACUAAUCCAAACCCGAGUUUUCUUCUGGAAGAUUUGGUCCAGAGAGUGGAACCUGCGUGAAUCCGCCUGCUGGUGAUGUAUUAAUCAGCUUUCUGUUGCUGCAACAAAAUACCUGACAUAGUUAACUUAAAAAGAGAAAAGGUUCAUUGAACUCAGUCUGGGAGGUUCUAGUCCAAGACUGGGGGGGACUAGAACUUUGGGCCUCUGGUGGGGGCACGAGGCAGAGCAGACUGUUCACCUCGUAAGGCAGGAGGCAAGAGAGAGCCAAGAAG
rnacentral:lncRNA from 1 species